CGAUCUGUGAAUUUCAAUGGUGUUGCAACAGAAUUGCGUUGCUAGGCAACAGCUUGGGUCCAUGUUUACUUCCUGUCAGCUGAUGUCAUUCAGUAACAGGAAUAUAAACUGGGGACACAUUCAGAGUGUUUAUGUUUAAAACUGUGAAAUGGUCUAAAUAUUGUAGAUUUGUAAUAUCACAAAAGGACAGAAAUCCUGACGGCUUGUUUCAAACGUAUUGCACAGUUUCUGAAUACGG